rnacentral:tRNA from 1 species
GCAGUAGUGGUUCAGUGUUAGAAUUCUCACCUUCCAUUCAGGAGACCUGGGUUCGAUUCCCAGCCAAGGCA